GGAGAUGGUAAAAAUGGAAUUGAUGGUGGUGAUGACAAUAGUGAUAUUGAAGGUGGAGAUGGCAAUAGUGGUAAUGAAAGUGGGGAUGGAAUAAUGUAUUAACCCGAAAUAUAAUAACCAAUCAAGAACAACUCACUCCAUACCUAGUUGUAGACACCUCGAUCCCAAUCGAAGAAACUGCAGGUGAUCUAAAUUCCCUUACCAGGCCAACUUGAAACCUGGACCAUUCACACCCAACCACAAUCGACCUUGAACCAUACCCGGUGCACCUAGACCAACUUGGGAGAGCAUUAAGCAUCAAAGAAUGCCCCUUAAGACUGAACAAGGCAGAUCGGGACCAAGAACUACCAAUUUGGAGGAAAUUAGGAAGCAAAAAGUCCCAGCACCAUUGGUAAAGGUGCCGGUGCCACAAAUUCCGAUGGGUCAGAUGUCCAAAAAUUGAUUAAGACAACUCAUGCCUCGAGAUAAGGGCCAAACAAAAGAAAAUAGCAUGAUGAAAUUUCCAUUGGUGUGUCCCAGACCAAUUUUAUCAGAACUGAUAUCUUUUUUUAAUUAACAUAAAAAUCAAUCUUCUAUUUAUUCAUAUUUAAGAGUUUCAUAUUUCAUAUUGGAUACAAUGUGAUCUAAUAUGAAUUUUUGAUUUUUUUUCUAAUUUCUGGUAAUUCUUCUUUGAGUCAUAUCUUCCAUUCUAUUUAUUAUCGUAGUAGGGUUUUCUUCCUGAAAAGGCUUUUUUUUCUUUUUUCAAGAAACAUGAGUUUUGAUUCACCCCCUUAAACGAAAAAAAGAAAGAAAAGAAGAACUACACCAUGACAUGUCAAACGGCAAGACAAGUUGGAUGUACGUACCAACGUCAUGUGUUAGUAAGGCAUCGAUAGCCUCGUCAGCUGCACCGUCUGCAAAUUCAUCGAAUGAAAUGUCACAUCACUUGAAACUGUACACACGUGCUGAAACGGUUGACUGACAAUGGAGAAAUUGUCAGUGGUUCCAGCGACGUUGCAAAUGUUGAUGAAACCUGAUUGGCCGAUCGAAUGUAUAUAUGAUUACUUAGAGACCGACACAUGGCACCUUAUGUCAAAACAAAACUCCAAAUAUUGCGAACAACAUUGCCAAUGAGGUCAGGCCUUGGACACUCUGCCCACAAAAGUGUACCUGAUCCAAGAUCACACGAAUCCGAGCAUUAAAUGACGCUGACCGUAAUUAAUGCUAAAUCGACACCAUUAAUGCUGUCGGAUAUUUGCCAGUUGCACCAAUAUUUGGACGGCCCAUAUUUCAUCUUAAGAGCCCAACAAUGAUUCUGGAAUUCGUUUGCCUAUAAAACAAAAGCUCUUCUCUUAGUUAAAAGGCCGAAUUUUCGAGUAAUUAUGCAGAAGCUCUGCCGAUCCAAUCAUGGACCCUAUCAGACCCAAAACCGAACUUUAAACACAAAUUCUAAACCCUAGAAACCCUAUUCAACACAAUCAAAACUGAAGACGGUCUGGAUAACCGACUUUAUUGGACCUCUUCUAACCAUAAUUAUUUGUUUGGUAGAAACCCAAAGGAACGAGAAUAGUUGUGCGAUUACUAACUCUGAAUCGGCACCAACUCCAGGCAUAGGGCCUAGAGGGCCUUUCUAAGGUAUCAUUUUUCUUCCUUUUCCUUAAUUUAAUUGUUUCAUUUAUUUGUUUUAUUCUAUUUCUAAACUCUUUAUAAUUCCCCAUUUCUAGUUCAAUACUCGAAAUUUCUUUUGAACUCCUAGAUUAAGGCGUGUUGGAAGCUGGCUUUGCUGGCAGUCCGAGUGCUAGAAGGUCUUGUGGCCCGACUCUUGUCCGGAUUGUAAUUUGGUGGGACCCUUUUCUCUAUCAACUCCUUUGAUGAGUUUUAUUGCCCAACCACGGUUGGGACCACAUUCCUUAUUGAUAUUUUGAAGUAUAAACACUAGUGCGGUGGAAAGACAAUAUAAAGACACUUGGCUAACAUAGUAGUAAUCGAUUCCGAAAUACGUAGGUCUGUGUCCAAUACCUCGAGGACGAAUUCUUUUGAAGGGGAGAUGAUUAAUGCAUCCCUAAAUCUAGAAGAAGGAUUAUUGAAAGUUCCAAAGAAACAUAGAACAAAGUUAAAUUAUUAUCCUAAGAAAUUUUUAGAAAAUAUUUUUAGAAAUAUACAAGAAUAAAUUAUUAUUUAAGGAAGUAUUUAGGAAUAAUCUCUAUAAAUUUUUUGAUAACUUCUCUCUAGAAAUAUCUUCUAAAUCAAUGGAUACGACUUGCCCCAGGGAAUCAAUAGCCAAGAUUUGGAAACAUUUGGGCUACCAAAAUUAGCCUACAAAUUUCUUCAAAAGAGGUAUAUUCCCGCAACUAAGAAUUAACAGUUGUCUUGAGCUUUCUUUGAGAGUGUGUGAUACCUCUCCAAGUGGUAGUUGAUCCUCACGUGAGGUUUAAUGAUUCUCUUUUUGUUUCUACCCUUGUUAUAAAACACAAUUGUAUUCUGCUUUAUAUUGAAAUAAGUGUGCCCUAUUUCUUGAUCACCUUACCUUCGGAAUACAUCAUGCAUCAAUCAUCUUCGAGAGCCGGUGCAUCUACUUGUCCUCUUUGUAUCAUCUGAAGACAGCCAUUUCAAAUGUGUUUAGAUUUUUAUUAUGAUCUAAAACACAUCCAAACAACCCUGUAGCACAUUUACUUCUGCUCCAUUAAGGGCUAUUUUUUUCCCCCUUGUUCUCUGUGCCAGAUGAUCAACAAUGGUAGGCACGAAUAUCUAGUGAUGUACAAGAUCGGUCUCAUCAUACUGGUCAAUAAAAUUUGAAGAUCUGUACACCAAGUUAGAAGUUAUUGGAUUUUUGAGCUUCCCCUAUUCUCUGUCCUAAAUUUGUUCAAAUUGAGUCCUUGAGUUUAGACCCACAUCGCCAAAGAAGAGAGAGGACACCCCCCGGCCCUCAACCAAUACUUAAUUUUCAAAUUUUUAAGUCCGAAAUUUCAAGAAAAUUAAGUUCUUUGAAAUUUUGGAUGCGUUCUUGCUUCAUUUAUAUUGUAGGUGCAGGAACUUGAUUUGAAUAGUAUCACUACUUGUUACUAUUUCAGGUACACGUGAUUGAAGCUUUGAUGGUUUACCUAGAUUGAGACUGUUUAUGGUAUCCCAACAUGAGAUUUUUUUUACGGCUUAUCUGUGACUGAAAUUUUGAGGUUUUUAUGUAAGAUUGGAAAUUUGAUGAAUUGAUGGUUUUAUGAUUCAUUUGCUUCGACGAUAGUUUUACGAAUCAAUUGCUUUAAUGAUUUUAGCCGUGAUUGAAUUUUUGUUGUUUUUAUUCACGGUCAUCAAGACCACCGGCGGUCCACCCAAUGCCUCGGCGAGCUUGUCCAACAUAAAAACUGGUUUUAGUUGAAAUUUGAUCAAAAUCAAUGUUUAAUUGGUUUGGGCCAGUCGGACCGACCAAUUUUUACUGGUUUGACUAGUUAAAUGAAGUUUGGCGAUCUUUUAAUACAUUUUAUAUUUUAAAUUAUUAGGCAUCAUGUUUUCUUUCACUUUUCUAAGAUCUGAUCUCACUAAUUCGAUGAGUGGUUGGACCGGUUUUCACUAAGACCAAACCUCUCAUCAGUUCAGUGGUUGGUCCGAUCCUAAUAAUAUUUGGGCUUAUCGAGUUUUUGAUAUCAAAUCUAUAUAAAAUAGAUCCUAAAUAUUUUUCUACAUAAUCCUCUCGAUCUCAGAUGAGUUUUGAUUUGUGAACUUUUGAGAUAUAUAUAUUGGAAAUGAUUUUAUGCAAUGGUUAUAUAGUAAUAUAAGGAAACAUUCUUCAAAAACCAUGAUGGGGCCUUUUGUUUGAUCCAAAUUUUUAAAUAUGCACUCUUUUCAUUCUAAUGAAUAAUAAUAAGGGUGUGAUUUCUAUAAGGUUCCAACCUUAAACAAUCCAAUCAAGGCUCACCUUCAAAUUUUAUCAUAAUAUGUAAUGUUGGUGUAAAAAAGCAUUAGAUUAUCUUAACAUCUAUUUUCAUAUUUAAUUAUCAAAUUUUAAACUCCAAAAAUAGUUAAAAUCAAGUAGAUAUAUAAAUAUAUGAAAAUAUUAAAAAUAGACGAUCUAGAUAAUGUGUUGCAAGAUGCACUAUUUUUUGUACUCAAAAUCUUGUUUUUUUUCUUCUUCAUAGUCAUACAUCUCGAUGUCGAGAUGAUCAAUUAGAGGGUUUUUCAAUAUUUAAACAACAUUUUCUGAUGGAGUUUUUAGGUGCAUAUGUAAUUCUACAUUUUAAGAUUGCAACCUUAUAUAAAUUUUUUCCUAAUAAUUAUAAACAAAAAGUAAAAUUUUAAAACAGCGUAGAAAGUGUUUUUUUUAAUCCAACUAAUAUUGACCAUCUAUUUUAGUGAGAUGCUUAAAUAUUUAGAUUGAUAUUUCCUUCCCAAAUUUUUAAAGAGCUUUAUUAACAUUAGAUUAAUAAUAUUAAAAAAAAAAAUAAUAAAUUUUGAAUUCAUAAAAGCCUAGAUCUUAAAAAUUCACUAAAUGGAUGGUCCAGAAUUAUUGUUGAAGGUGACUCAUUUUAAUCAUAUCUAGGGUAUAAAAUGAAUUUUAUUUUUUUGGAGAUUAAUUAUUGGGAUGAAGAGAAUGUGUAUACAAAAUUUGAUGUCAUAUAAAUGCCACUGACAUGGUUUUCUAGAAUGUUUGGUUUCAAUAUAUAUUAUACUGACAUGGUGACAUAAGAUCAUUCCCCUAAAUAUAUAUGAAAAAGAAAAGUUAUAUAAGUAUCCCUUACUUUUUUGAAAUUUUAAAAAACGCUCCCCACCAUUUUAUAUUUUAGGUUCAUAUCCAUUUUUUUAAAAUACAAAUUAUAUACAAUUUUAUCUUUUUUCCAUAGUUUAUUUAUGCCAAAAGAUUUUCUACUAUGUCUAUUUACUCCCUCAGGUAUAAUACAUACAACGAAUACCUUUUACAUUUCAAAUUUUUAGGAUGUAAUAUCUAAAACCUAUAUAUAAUCUCAAUAAAAAAAUUUCAAAAUAAACUCUCUACGUGUUUCAAGAUUGAAUAGAGACCGUCCAAUUUUUAAAAAACUAGACCUGCUGUCGCAUCACUCAAAAUUCAAUUUUUUUUUUAUUUUGAAAAUAAUCAUCUAGCAGUUCUUAUGUGGUUGACAAAAUUUUACACUAAAAUAAUGUGUUUUGUGAAAGGGCGUAGCACAUGGAAUAUUCCCAUUGGAGCAAAUCAUAUGUGCAUAAAUAAAAGUUAGAAUACUAUGCUCCCAUAGGAGCAUUGUACUGUGCACCUAUUCCUUGGAGUAGAUAACCAUCUUGGAAGGAUUUUUUUGAUCUUAAAUUUUUGGAACUGCCUAAAAAUUAUUAAAUAAUUAUUUUCAAAAGAGAAUUUGAAUUUUAAGUUUUGUGACACUAAGAUCUCAUCACGAUCUCGGGUCUCCACACAUCAAUUUUUUAGUUCAUAGAGAGUGUGAUUUGGACUUCUUUUAGUUGAGGUUAGUAUAAGGAUUGGUGAGGUUAUAAUUUAGGGUCUCACAAUUCCUCCCAGGUCAGUUUUUACCCAAUAGAGUAAAUGAACAACACGCUUUUAUGGUAGCAUGAAAUCUUUUGGCUUAUUGGAAAUGCAUGGUUCUUUUAAGAGUUUGUUAGUUUUGAAGUUUGGCUUUGUACUUGGGUUUUGUCUUCUCGUUCCAGAAAAUAUUUAAAUGAAAACAAGAAAAUAGAUGGUAUACAAAGAGAUUAUUUACCUUUGUUAUAACGAGGCAACAAUUAUUCUUAUUUAUUAAAUGUCAAAUUGGAUGGUUUGGGAUAUGUCAUGAAGUAGGAGAAAUUUUUUUAGAACUAUGAAUCUAUUCAAUGACACUUUUACAACCACCCAUUUUGAAAUCUAAGAGAGAAGACUGAUUGUAACUUUCUUGUACAAAAAGUAAAUGAUCUCUUUCUAUACGGAAAAUAUGUAUCUAUAAACAUAACAAAGCAUAUUUAAAACAAACUUAAUUGUUCUCCUAGCAAUAUAACGGAUAUCGUACGGCAUUAAAAAUAAAUAAAAAAAAUAUAAUGAAUGUCCUAUGGAAUUAUCGACAAGAGGUAUAAUUGAAAGGAAAAUAACCUUGUGAGACCCUCCCAAACCCAUGUGUGUAGGAUCCCAUAAGAUCAUCAUUAAAUUUAGUAUAGAUCUUUAGAAAAGUCAAAUCCCACACCCAUGUGAUAACCUUUUUAGAAAUCUAUGCCAAAUUUAAUGGUGAUCAUUUAGGGUCCUAAACACAUGAGUGUGGGAGGGUCUCAUAAGAUCAUUACUCUAACUGAAAUGCCAAAAUCUUGCAGAUUGCUUCUUUUAGUUUUUUGUGUGAUCCUUUCGAAAUAGGGUGUGGUUUGUAUAAUGCCCAGGCUCUAAACAAUCAAAUUCGAGCCUAACUUCAGCUACUGUCAAGAAAUGUGGUUUAAAUAUUGGAAUUCUUUGUGAUAGCCUUAAAAGAUAUUUUCAUCUUUAUUUUAAAAGUUUAAAGAUUCAAAAAUAGUGUAGAUUGACAGAUCUAUGAAAACUUGAAAAUUGAAAAUUGAUGGUAAAAAAUGUGUUGCAAAAUACAUAACUUCCAAAACUUAAAAUCCAGUUUUUUUCUCAUGUCCAUACAUCUUGAUGUUGAGAUUAUCAAUUUGAAGAUAUUUGAGCAUCGAAACAACCUCUUCUAAUGAAAAUUUUGAGGUAGGCUCUAAUUUGAUUGUUUCGAGCCUCGACUCUAUAUAAACUUUUCCCUUUGAAAUAACCUCCAUUAAAUUUCUCCUUCCAAUAAUUUUUGCAAGUUAUUGCACACAAUCUGAAUAUUUGAAACAUGGAUUCACAAGCAAGGUUAUUUCUGAUAAAUGUAAAUCCAAACUCCAAUUGAAAUAACCAAUAAAUACUAUUUUAUAAAACAAACCAAUCCACUGAAUGCAACCUGUUAUUGAUUAAAAAAAGAAACAGUAAAACAACUACUGAACACAUCCACCUACUUAUUCCAAAAAGCAGAGAAAAUAAAAUAAAAGAAAAACAGAAAAUAAAAGGGGAAGCACCCACUAAUCACAGCCAGUCAUACAUAAAAGAAAGCAAGAAAAAAGAUAAAAAUACACAGAAAUUACAGCCAGUUAUACGUAAAAGAAAGCAAGAAAAAAGAUAAAAAUACACAGAAAUUACAGCUAGUUAUUCAAGAAAAUCACACCCCAUAAAGUGAUUUUUAAAAUCCACUCAUACAAAACAACCAAGGAUUAAGGAGCAGGUUUUUUAGCUGGAGGAGGACCAGGAAUCCUAGGCAAUGGAGGCAAUGGUGGCAAUGGUGGCAAUGUAGGCAAUGGUGGAAUUCCAGGAAUCAGAGGAGGAAAAGAAAAUAGUGGAGGAGGAGGUGGUGGAGUAAAGAAGGGAAUUGGUGGGAAACUGAAAGCAGGUGGAGAUGGUAAAAAUGGAAUUGAUGGUGGAGAUGGUAAAAGUGGAAUUGAUGGUGGUGAUGGCAAUAGUGGUAUUGAAGGUGGAGAUGGCAAUAGUGGUAUUGAAGGUGGAGAUGGCAAUAGUGGUAUUGAAGGUGGAGAUGGCAAUAGUGGUAUUGAUGGUGGAGAUGGUAAAAAUGGUGGAUAAAGGAAGAAGAAACUUGGGUUUACUGGUUUCUCUGUCUUUUCAGU
rnacentral:lncRNA from 1 species